UUACAGUAUGCUCUUUACAUUGUGCUGGGGGCAGAUUUAGACUUCACAACUGGUGACAUGGACACAAUCAGGACAUGGUGGUGCCUGUUGCUCCUGUCUGGUCAUUCAGUUGUCAGGUUCGCACAGAAAAGGAAAUAUGAAGAUCAAAUCAUAAUAGCAGAUAAGGAUAAGGAGGAGGCAAAGAAGCCCA